rnacentral:rRNA from 1 species
AUUGAACGCUGGCGGCAUGCUUUACACAUGCAAGUCGAACGGCAGCGCGGGGCAACCUGGCGGCGAGUGGCGAACGGGUGAGUAAUACAUCGGAACGUACCCAGAAGUGGGGGAUAACGUAGCGAAAGUUACGCUAAUACCGCAUACGACCUAAGGGUGAAAGUGGGGACCGCAAGGCCUCAUGCUUUUGGAGCGGCCGAUGUCUGAUUAGCUAGUUGGUGAGGUAAAGGCUCACCAAGGCGACGAUCAGUAGCUGGUCUGAGAGGACGACCAGCCACACUGGGACUGAGACACGGCCCAGACUCCUACGGGAGGCAGCAGUGGGGGAAUUUUGGACAAUGGGGGGCAACCCUGAUCCAGCAAUGCCGCGUGAGUGAAGAAGGCCUUCGGGUUGUAAAGCUCUUUUGUCAGGGAAGAUGAUGACGGUACCUGAAGAAUAAGCACCGGCUAACUUCGUGCCAGCAGCCGCGGUAAU